CCUACGGGUGGCAGCAGUGAGGAAUAUUGGUCAAUGGACGAGAGUCUGAACCAGCCAAGCCGCGUGAGGGAUGAAGGUCCUGUGGAUUGUAAACUUCUUUUGUCUGGGAAUAAAGACAGGGAUGCAUUCCCCCUUGUAUGUACCUUAUGAAUAAGGAUCGGCUAACUCCGUGCCAGCCGCCGCGGUAAUACGGGGGAUCCGAGCGUUAUCCGGAUUUAUGGGAUUUAGAGGGAGCGUAGGGGGGUUGUUAAGUCAGUGGUGAAAGGUUGGGGCUCAACCGAGCAACGGCAGUUGAAACUGGCAGACUGGAGUGGGGGAGAGGUGAGCGGAAUGCGAGGUGGAGCAGUGAAAUGCGUAGAUA
rnacentral:rRNA from 1 species